GGAGAGAUGCCAGAGUGGCCGAAUGGGACAGACUCGAAAUCUGUUGUACCACAUGUGGUACCGUGGGUUCGAAUCCCACUCUCUCCG
rnacentral:tRNA from 1 species